GAUGAACGCUGGCGGCGUGCCUAAUACAUGCAAGUCGAGCGAACAGACGAGGAGCUUGCUCCUCUGACGUUAGCGGCGGACGGGUGAGUAACACGUGGAUAACCUACCUAUAAGACUGGGAUAACUUCGGGAAGCCGGAGCUAAUACCGGAUAAUAUAUUGAACCGCAUGGUUCAAUAGUGAAAGACGGUUUUGCUGUCACUUAUAGAUGGAUCCGCGCCGCAUUAGCUAGUUGGUAAGGCAACGGCUUACCAAGGCAACGAUGCGUAGCCGACCUGAGAGGGUGAUCGGCCACACUGGAACUGAGACACGGUCCAGACUCCUACGGGAGGCAGCAGUAGGGAAUCUUCCGCAAUGGGCGAAAGCCUGACGGAGCAACGCCGCGUGAGUGAUGAAGGUCUUCGGAUCGUAAAACUCUGUUAUUAGGGAAGAACAAAUGUGUAAGUAACUAUGCACGUCUUGACGGUACCUAAUCAGAAAGCCACGGCUAACUACGUG
rnacentral:rRNA from 1 species